GAGGGGUCCUGCUGCCCCUCCUGGCACUGGGGAUGUGCUGGGAAGUGGCCACGCUCUGAGGCUACCUGGCUUCUCCAGGCAUCUGGCCCUGUGUCACCAGGACAUCUGACAGGCUCUGGAGCUGGAGCCACAGCAUGGAGCCACCCAGGUCCUGAGGUGGAGGCUGCUGAGACAAGUCCAGGAGGCCAAGGCCCCGUGUGGGACCCUGCUCAAGAAGAUAAGCUUUGCCAUCGAGAGUGACCCCUUGGCCACCAAAUUCUUCACCUUCGGGUAGUGAGAGGGUCACCGUGGCUGGGUGGCUCCAUUGGCCUGUGAGCUCUCCUGUGUCUGUCCAUGUGUCCCGGGGGACUCUCCUCCAAUGGCUCAAGAACUUCAGUGCAGCCUGCAAGGACUUAGCCAGGGCAAGGGAGCUGGGUGCUCCAGGGGGCCCAGCAGCCCUGGAGGCUUGGUGGCAGCUGGCACUUGCCUACAACAACUGUGCUGUGCACUGCUACAGCCUAGGCUGAUCUGAUGAGGCUGUGCUGCUCCUUGGCAAGGUUCUGCAGGAUGAGAGGAGGGAGAAGGGGCUCUGUGUCAACAGAGGAGGCAAGCAGCUGGGCUGGGAAUCACAGUGGGUUCCCAGGGUGAGGGCUGAGGUGUCACACAGCAGUGUCUGCACUCAGGCAUUGAGUGUGUGCUGGGGAAGGCCCUGUGCUUUGGGGAGUAGCGACUGAAAUGGGCAAUAGGGCCCCUGAGUUCUCCCAUGGUCCUGACCCCAGUUCACAGUCGUGCCUGCCUGGAGUGUUUCAGCAGUGGGGAGGGCACCAGGGGCUGGGAUUUACCACUGGUGGUUUGGCUCCCUCCCUGUGAGGUUGGGAAUGGCUGCUCUCUUCCAGACUGUGCUGUAUCUCCUGCCCGGCAGAGCUCAGAGCUUUUGGCUAAUGAUGCUGAAAUCUUUGUGGCAGGGGUGGGCUGGACACGCGCGGUGCAUGUUUCCUACUGGCGUGGAGAGCUCCAGACAAAGCCCGGAGGUGGCAGCCAGCCCCCAGUCGCUCUCAUUUAACUGAGACGCUGACGCUGCCUCAGCGCAGAGGGGUUCCUUCGCCUGCGGGAGCUGGCCUAUGCACUAGCAGAUUACCAGCAGGCGCUGGAGCUGAGCCCGUGGGACUGUGCUGAGCAGAGAUGGGUUGCAGCAGCACUGCGUGAGUAGGGACAGCAGGAUUUGGUGGCAAGGUGCAGGCUGCCCCAGGGCUGGUGGUGACCCAGGCUGCCCAGCGUGCUUGCUCCUGGCCCCUCGCAGGCAGUACCAGCAGGAAGAAGCUCAGUUCUCCGUGGCUGCCCCCACAAACCACUGUACUACCUGUGCCGGGCCGGGGCCUGCCUGUGCCUGGGGAGGAUGCCCACCCUAAGCCUGUGGCUCGACCCCAGGGACAGCGAGGUACUGCGCUGCUCCCCGAUGCCCUCCUCAGGCCAUGGGUGAUGUUCUCAGCUUGUCGCCUCUACUGCACUCUCUGCGCCUACCCCUCAUGCAGUUUGAGGCAAGCCUGGAGUUUUAUUUCUUCAUCAGGGGCCAGCAGCUGAUCAAGGAUGAGGGACUGGGGUCAGGGGUCCUGCCAGAGUGUGGGUCCAAGCCAAGCAGUGAGGGUUAUAGCCUGGCUCUUUAAACAGCCUUGUGCCAGAGCCACUGGGCAGGUCUCUUUCCUCCUUAUUUUCAUUUCCCUGUUGCUUUGACCCUAAUUGAGGGCUGGAGCCCUCUCCUGUGUGUGGCUGUGGUAAGGGGAACAUCUUCACACAGCCAUCGCCCAGCAUGGGCACCGCUCAGGGCAGCUGCAUGGCUUGAUUAAUCUGGGUUUGGUUUGAGGUGAAACCCAGGCUCCCCGCUGGCACAGGUCCUGGUGGGGCUGACGGGGCCUUUGCUGGCAGCACAAGGUGGGUAUUUGGCUGUGGUGGUGGAAACUCUGUGCCUCAGUGCUCAGAGCUCACUGUGGGGAACAGUUUUUCCAUGGAGGAGAUCCAGGUCUCACCUUGUCACCACUGCACAUCCUUUCCCAUGUAUGCUGCCGCUUUGCAAGAAAGACUGUCAGUGCUGCCCCAAGGAGUGAUACAGGACACCUUGCCCUUCACCUUGGAGAAAAUGCUUCAGAGCCCACCCAGAACUCGCCAUUUCAGCUGAUGUUGCCUGCUGUGAUAGCAGCAAUAGGUGACAGUGGGUUGCUGAAUGUCUGUGCUUGGCCUUGGAACCCUGUUCCAAGCAGGCUGCCGAUGGCACUAGAGGACCAUUGGAAGGAACAGGUGUCUGAGGGCGCAGCGCUGCACAUGAGGGACAGCGACUCGGGUGAGCAAUCCUGGGGUGCCGUGGCAGGGUCUGCAGGCUUGCAUCUCGCACCCAGCCAGCAUGCAGAGCGGCAGCAAUAGCUGCUGCAGAAGCAGCUUGUCUGCCAUGGCACCCACCUGGCACCUUGCCUCUGCUCUCAGCUCCAUGUGCGUGGGGCCACCAAGCAGGUUCACAGAGCGACUGUCCCUGGGAAGGAGGUGAUGCAUCUCUCACCUGCUGUGCUUGCACUCACCCUGACACGUGGCCUUGGGACCCAGGGAUGUGCUCUGCAGUGGGGGUAAAGUGCUGCUAGGGCAGAGAGACCCAGUGGCCUUCCUGGACCCACGCUGGCUCCUCUGCAGAGGAUGCUGGGUCCAGCUACUGCUGUUUUGCCUCCUUCCUGGGUAAAGGCCGCUGU